UCGCGCGACCCUGCCCGUGAGCAAUUUCCCAAAUCGUCUCUGUCUCCUAAUUCAUUUCUGGUAGAAUGUAUCCAGACGAGUUCCAUGUCGUAAGUCGAAGAAAAAGCGUCAAAAUUGGAAAAAAAGUACUUAUUCUUCGUAAUAAUUCAGAUAUAAGUUGGAAAGGAACAGAUUUUGAUCGCAACGGUGUUCUUCGACGAGUGAGAGCAGCUGUCGAGGAAUUGCGAGAGAGCUCGUAUAAGAAAGUUAUAUUUGAUGGACUAAAGCAGUCUUUGAGUCUUUUAAAUUUUGACGGUUUCUCGGAAUUUAUUUGUUACGGUUUAGGACAAUUUAGAGAAAACUCUUCAUCUAAAUAUCAACUAGCUCUUUUGGUAACACUGCAAGAACAUUAUAAAUGUAAAAUACACAUUUACGAUCCAAAAUUUAGUGAAGACGAAUUAGAGAUUUUGAAAACAUUAGGUUUGGAAGUUAUCGUGGAAAAUGAGCGAGGGAAGCGAAGAGUUAAUGAUAAAGUUACGCUGGUAUACUUACCACAUUGUCCAAAACAGCUAACAAAUAAUUUUUUAUAUGCCAAUUGGGGCUUAGAACUAAAUAAUUGUGUAUUAUUAUCAAAUAGUUGGUGGGAGUUAUACCAUUCCCAGUCACAAAAAGAAUUGUUGGCUUCUGCUGCUUAUGUUUUAAGAAUUCAUCCUUACGUAACUGAAAUUCCACUGAGGAAUACUUUCAAAUAUGUUGAGGCAUUCAGCAGUACCAACAUUCACAUUUUUACUAAAGAAAAAUUGACCACUGUACCUGCAAAUUUCUGGGAUGACCGAGAGGAGCCUAAAUAUUCCAAAGAACUCGUGUUGGACUCUACUGAAGAGAAACUAAGAAAUUUAGCUGUUACAUAAAUGUAAUUCUUCAUUUAAAAUGUGGUAAAGCACAUUUAUUAAAAUAAUAAAUGAAAUAUAAGUUAGAGAAAGUGCUAAUUAUUCAGCCAUUUAUUACUUCUGGAUGAUAAACGUAAAAAUGAAUAAUAAUCUCAGGACCAUCCGUUCUUUGAUUAGUGAGAUUCGUCAUAGUACUCAUGGGAAGAAAAUGAAAGAUAAUAUUAUGGUGCAAUAUAUAUUGGAUCAAGCCCG